UCGUUGCUGUUUUCGCGCUUUCUAAAAGAUUCACUUACCAAAGCGACCAAAUUGGCACAUCAUUGCUCAUUUUUUGCAAGUAAUAAUAUGGGUAAAUUUUGUUUUGAGUGCGGAACUAUAAUAUUGUCAGAAAGUUUCUUAGGAACAAUUUGUAUUAUAAUCAUUAUUAUUACUCGUGAUUUUUAGAUUUUUUAAAUGCUUAAAAUUUGUCCGAAGCGAUUCUGACGUGCAAAUCGAUCGACUGAAGUAUAGGAGUGUAAGACUAAUGGAACAAUCUAGUAGCUGAUUCAUUCUGAAGUUUCCUUAAGGAUAGCUGGAGUACGUAAUGAAGCUGUUAUAUUCGGUAAAGCGGUUGACUGGAGGAAUUGUGGGACGAAACGUGUUCAAUCGAGUAUGACUCGUUUGCUUGAAUGAAGUAUAGACAAUGAAUGUGUGCUCCAAAUGGGCCAUUUUUGGGAGCAGAACUGAUAGAAUGGGCUGAAACAAAGUUGGGUUAAAAUAGAAGUCUUCCGCUCAAGCGUCAUCCAUUUUCAGAGCUAGUUCAUUAUAUUUUUUCCGCUUGGUAGAUGAUAACUACUGAU
rnacentral:ncRNA from 1 species